AACAACUUUUCAAAGAAAAAGCAAAUAAGUUUAACUAAGAAUUAGCUCGUGUCACAUUGUCAUUUUAUGAAGAAGCUACAAUAUCAUUAUAAUAAUACUGCCUGUAUCCUGGAUUUAACAUAUGAGCAAAGUGCUUGAAACUGUCUUGCAAAAUCUGGUUUUGAUUAAUAGAAUCAGAGUGUUUGCAGGAAAAUACCUCAAAAGGUCAUUUAGUCCAACCCCGUACUGAUGCAGGAAAUCCCCGAUGGUUACCAUUCAACAUCUGCUUAAGAACUUCUGUCCCACUGACAAAUAGAAGUUCUUCUGAAUGUUAACCUAAAUUCUGUUUCUUGUAGUUUGAACCAAAUGGUUCAGGCCCCACUCCCUGGAACAACAGAAAUCUAUGUAACAGCUCUUCAACUAUGCAAAUAUGGCUAUUACAGGUGGCAACAAUUUUGCACAGAGCAUCCAUUCCUAGCCCCCAUGCAUGUCAGCAGAGUGCACAUAAGCCUGCCCUACACCUGCUUCACCUGUUCUGUCCCCCAUUCCGCCCACUUCUGGGUCCAAAAGGACCCAUGUGUUGGCAGUCACGUCAAUUGGAUGCACGCAAAAUGGUCACAACCUGUAUAGUGCCUCUAAAUCAACCCUUCUCUAUGCUAUAUAUACCCAACUCUUUCAACCUUUCCCCAUAGGAUGUAGUCUCCGGGUCUUCAUGAUCUUUGUCAUCCUCCUCUGUAUACAUUCCAGUAAUCUUAAACUGCAGUGCUCCGAACUGGCCAUGAUACUCCAGAUGGAGACUUGUUUCUUCUAACGUCUGAAAACUCUCAUUCUAUGCAGGCCGGCUGAAUGAUGUUUUACUGACCUGCAGACAGUUUUUCCGGGUCAUGUGGCCAGCAUGACUAAGCCGCUUCUGGUGCAACGGAACACUGAAACCAGAG